ACAGAGGGUGCAAGCGUUGUUUGGAAUUAUUGGGCGUAAAGGGCGCGUAGGCGGUGCGGUAAGUCUGCGGUGAAAUCUCCCGGCUCAACUGGGAGGCUGCCGUGGAAACUGCCGUGCUUGAGUGUGGGAGAGGUGAGUGGAAUUCCCGGUGUAGCGGUGAAAUGCGUAGAUAUCGGGAGGAACAUCUGUGGCGAAAGCGGCUCACUGGACCACAACUGACGCUGAGGCGCGAAAGCUAGGGGAGCAAACAGGA
rnacentral:rRNA from 1 species